AACACUUCCCUCUGGAGUGUAAACCCAACAUUAUACUGUCUUGCGCUGCAGAGGGAACUGUAUAGCGUAAGCUCAGGAAAUUUGCCCCCUCCCUCAAUGU